rnacentral:rRNA from 1 species
AACUGCGAACGGCUCAUUAGAGCAGAUUUUACCUAUUCCGAAAUCUUAUUUGGAUAACUGCGGUAAUUCUGGAGCUAAUACAUGCAAUAAAGCCCAUCCUUACGGGUGGGUGCAGAUAUUAGUACAAACCAAUCGUCUCUGACGAAGUUUGUUGACUCUGAAUAUCGUAGCUAAUCGACGGUUUACCUGUCGAUGAUCGGAGAAGGAGUCUGCCCUAUCAACCAGAUGGUAGUCUAUUAGUCUACCAUGGUGAUCACGGGUAACGGAGAAUCAGGGUUCGACUCCGGAGAGGGAGCCUUAGAAACGGCUACCACAUCCAAGGAAGGCAGCAGGCGCGUAACUUAUCCACUACCUUAGUGAGAUAGUGACUAAAAAUAAAGAGACCAAUCCUUUGGAUUGGUUAUUUCAAUGAGUUGAGUCUAAAUAGCUCUUCGAGGACCCAGUGGAGGGCAAGUCUGGUGCCAGCAGCCGCGGUAAUUCCAGCUCCACUAGUAUAAAUCGUCAUUGCUGCGGUUAAAAAGCUCGUAGUUGGAUUUGAGGCACGUACAGCGGUUCGGCUCUGCCGUUAAUCACUGUUGUGUCUAAUUUGUUGGUUUUCUGUUGGUAACUUCGGUUCCUUCAGUGGCUAGCAAGUUUACCUUGAUCAAAUCAAAGCGCUCAAAGCAGGCGAUUGCUUGCAUUUGGGAUCAUGGAAUAAUAAAAUAGGAUUUCGAUUCUAUUUAUUGGUUUAGAAUUGAAUUAAUGAUUAAGAGAGACAAUUCGGGGGCAUUCGUAUCCCUGCGCGAGAGGUGAAAUUCGUGGACCGCAGGGGGACGUCCAAAAGCGAA